rnacentral:rRNA from 1 species
GACAGAGGCCUCGAGCGUUAGGCGGAAUCACUGGGCUUAAAGCGUGUGUAGGCGGGCCCGUAAGUGUCUUGUGGAAUCCCACGGCUCAACCGUGGAACUGCUGGGCAUACUGCGGGUCUUGGGCCAACUAGGGGCAGCCGGAACAAGCGGUGGAGCGGUGAAAUGCGUAGAUAUCGCUUGGAACGCCGAAGGUGAAAACAGGCUGCUGGGGUUGCGCCGACGCGUGAG